UACGGAGGGUGCGAGCGUUGUCCGGAAUCACUGGGCGUAAAGGGCGCGUAGGUGGCCUGUGGAAGUCUGCGGUGAAAGCCCGGCGCUCAACGCCGGGUCGGCCGUGGAUACUCUCGGGCUCGAGCUUACUAGAGGCAGAUGGAAUUCCGGGUGUAGCGGUGGAAUGCGUAGAGAUCCGGAAGAACACCGGUGGCGAAGGCGGUCUGCUGGGGUAAUGCUGACACUGAUGCGCGACAGCGUGGGGAGCAACAGG
rnacentral:rRNA from 1 species